GCUUUCAUAGCUAAGUUGGUUAGAGCACCCGUUUAGUAAGCAGGAGGUCUUGAGUUCGUCUCUCAAUGAAAGCA
rfam:Capsicum annuum cultivar Zunla-1 chromosome 6, whole genome shotgun sequence